rnacentral:rRNA from 1 species
CAGUAGCCGCGGUAAUACAGAGGGUGCGAGCGUUAAUCGGAUUUACUGGGCGUAAAGCGUGCGUAGGCGGCUUCUUAAGUCGGAUGUGAAAUCCCUGAGCUUAACUUAGGAAUUGCAUUCGAUACUGGGAAGCUAGAGUAUGGGAGAGGAUGGUAGAAUUCCAGGUGUAGCGGUGAAAUGCGUAGAGAUCUGGAGGAAUACCGAUGGCGAAGGCAGCCAUCUGGCCUAAUACUGACGCUGAGGUACGAAAGCAUGGGGAGCAAACAGGAUUAGAUACCCCUGUGUCCCUGUCUCUUAUACC